rnacentral:rRNA from 1 species
UACAGAGGUCUCAAGCGUUGUUCGGAUUCAUUGGGCGUAAAGGGUGCGUAGGUGGCGCGAUAAGUCGGGUGUGAAAUCUCGGAGCUUAACUCCGAAAUUGCAUUCGAUACUGCCGUGCUCGAGGACUGGAGAGGAGACUGGAAUUCAUGGUGUAGUAGUGAAAUGCGUAGAGAUCAUGAGGAAGACCAGUGGCGAAGGCGGGUCUCUGGGCAGUAACUGACGCUGAGGAGCGAAAGCGUGGGGAGCGAACGGG